AAAACAUUCAACAGUCUUGAACUAAAAGAGAAGGGAUUACAGUAGUUGUACAAUUAUUAAGUAAUUUUGUUGGUAGUUAUUUUUUUCCGGCUCAUGUGUAAGUGAGUCCACUUCAAAAUUAUAUCAAUGUAUUAUCAUGUGAUGUAAAAUAUAUAUGUUGUGUCCAAAAGUAAUUUAUGAACAGGAGUUUUUGUACAAGCUAUCAGUUAUUUAACACACAUCUCCUUUCAAAAGAUAAUGCAAUUUUAUCUUAUAUAAUUAACCAG
rnacentral:lncRNA from 1 species